AUUGAACGCUGGGGGAAUGCUUUACACAUGCAAGUCGAACGGUAGAGGGGGCAACCCCUCGAGAGUGGCGAACGGGUGAGUAAUAUAUCGGAACGUGCCCAGUCGUGGGGGAUAACGUAGCGAAAGUUACGCCAAUACCGCAUACGAUCUAAGGAUGAAAGCGGGGGAUCGCAAGACCUCGCGCGAUUGGAGCGGCCGAUAUCAGAUUAGGUAGUUGGUGGGGUAAAGGCUCACCAAGCCAACGAUCUGUAGCUGGUCUGAGAGGACGACCAGCCACACUGGAACUGAGACACGGUCCAGACUCCUACGGGAGGCAGCAGUGGGGAAUUUUGGACAAUGGACGCAAGUCUGAUCCAGCCAUUCCGCGUGCAGGAUGAAGGCCCUCGGGUUGUAAACUGCUUUUGUACGGAACGAAAAGGUCUCUCUUAAUACUAGGAGCUCAUGACGGUACUGUAAGAAUAAGCACCGGCUAACUACGUGCCAGCAGCCGCCGUAA
rnacentral:rRNA from 1 species